ensembl:lncRNA
AGUGACAAAUUAAAAGCAAGAGCUCUUAGGUUUGGGAUAACACAAUAAUAACAAUAUUUAAAAAUAAAAUAGAAUAAAUAACAAAGUGUAAUAUAAUAAGUGACAAAAUAGAAUAUAAUAAGUGACAAAAAUAAAAUAAAUAAAUGAUAAAAUAAUUUAAAUUGAAAGUUAAACUUUAUUUAAUGAAAAAUGAUUAAAUAUAAGUGAAAACUUGUUUUUUUUUAUGUUUGUUUAUGGUAGGUUUUGUAUGAAUUUCCAUUUUCAUUUUCAUUUUUUUUUACCCAUUUUUUUUCUUUUUCUUUUUUAAGUAUAAGUGAUAUAUGUAAUAUGUUUUAAAUAAAAAAUAUAAUUGUUUUUAAUAUAAAUUGAUUAAUAGAAUACUUAAGAUAAAUAUUAUUCAUGUUUCUAAUUUUUAUAUACUUAAAAAAAAAAAAAAAAAAAAAAAAAAAACGUACGUCCACAUAUAGUUGGCCCAAUUUAAUUAUUUAGAAAAAAAAAAAAAAAAUUAAUAAUAGCAAUGGUAAUAUAACAUCAAUGUAAUAAUAAAAUAAUGUGGGGCAUUAAAAAAAAGCUCUCCAUAAUAAUAUAAAAAAAUGACAAUAGUGUAUGUAGUAAAAAAAAAUAAUGUAAAACUUAUGAAUUUGCAUAAGUGAAGACUAGUAUAAAGCAUAAAAAAAAAAAAAAAAAUAAAACAAUAAAACAUGUUUUAUUAAUAACAAAAAAAAUUAUAACAUAAAGUCUACUCAGAAAGGCUUAGUUUUAGAGCACUAAGAAAAAAAGAUAGUAAGUAAUGUAUUCGUAAUUUUAUAAUUUUUUUUUUUUGCUCUUUUAUUCAUUUUAAUUUUAAUAAAUAUAAUUUUAAGCAUAUAAACUUAUAUAUAUAUAUAUAUACACCCUUAUAAUAAACCAUUUCAAUUGCUUUCAAUUGCAUUUGUAAAGUUUUAAUUUUUUAUUUUUCUUUUCUUUAUAUGCUGACACUAUGUCUACUACAAGAUGGGUACAUAGACAAGCGAAUGAUAAUGAAGAAGACAUAGUUUCGUUAAAUAAUAUCAAAGAAAGAUAUUUAAAAGAUAAAAUAAAAGGAGGCAGAAACAUAAGUAAACGGCGGAUGCCUUCUUCAAAGCCAAUAACUAAGGAGAACGAGCAUGAGUACGAACUUGAGUAUGGACACGAGUAUGGACAUGAAUAUGAACAUGAAUAUGAACAUGAAUAUGAACAUGAAUAUGAAGAUAAAUAUGAACAUGAAUAUGAACAUGAAUAUGAACAUGAGCACGAAAAUGAACACGAGUAUAAAUACAAUUAUAAAUACGAAAAUAAAAAUGCACAAAAUAUUUACGCAAAUAAAAAUACACAAAACGUAUACCCAAGUAAAAAUACAAAAAAUGUUUAUGCGAGUAAAAGCUCCAAAAAUAUAUACGAUGAUAAAAAAAAACUGAUAACAUUCUAUGAAAAAAAGCCGACAAAACCAAAGAAUGUUGCAAAUAAAAAUUUUCCCCUGCAUAAUGUAAAUACAUAUGGUGGUAGUGGUGGUGGUAGUGGUAGUGGUAGUGGUAGUAAUAAAAAAAAAAGCGACGAAAAAAAUGUUUUAGAGAAAAAAGGAAAUUAUAACUCUGUAAAAGAAAAUAAUAGAACUAUAAUAUAUUAUAAAGAUAUUAAAAAUAAGAUUAACGAUCCAAACAGUAAAAUAAAAACAAACGAAAAACAUUAUAAUCGUGUUUAUUCAGUUAAUAAUAAAAAUAAGCUAGUUAAUAAAAAAACGGAAUCAACAAAAGAUAAUGUAAACAUUUGUUUGGAUAUUAAUAUCCAAUGGGAUAGAGAAAAAGACGAGAAUAAUAAUAGUAAUAAUAUUAACAAUAUAGAUGCAAAUAAUAAUAUAAAAAAAAUACCUAUUCAUUUAAGAGAAAACAAAAACAACACUAUGAAACUAAAAAAUAUAAAAUGUUCUCCUACGUUAUUUACAAAAAAAAAUGCAUUUAAUUAUAAAAAUUGUACUUAUAAAAAACAUGUUUCUCCAAAGAAUGAAAAUUAUGUAAAUGAAAACGAGUAUGAAGAGAGGAAACAAAAAAAUACAAACACAACGAUGUAUUAUCAAAAUGAAAAAGACUAUUAUCAUCAACAUGAACAGGUAUAUAUACAAGAUGAUGAACAAGAACAGAAUUUUGUUAGAUAUAAUAAUAGUACUACUGACAGUAGUAAUAAUAACAAUAGUAACAUUAUGCAAAAAAUAAGAAAACAAACAAACAACAUACAAAAUUAUGAUACAGUAGAAAAAAAAUAUUAUCCAUAUUAUCAAAAUAUAUCUGGACAAUGUGUUAAAAAGGAGUACAAUAAUUGUGAUAAAAAUAACCAGCUAAAUGAAAUUAAUGAUGUGUAUCUUAAAAAUAAAAAUAAUAACCAGUAUGACAAUGUAAUUAUCUAUCAUAGGAAUAAUCAAGUAAAUUAUAUUAAAAAUAAAAACGAAAAUUGUAUUACAAAUUAUAAUGAAAAUCAAAGUAAUACAUGCAACAAGUUUAGAUAUAACAGUGAGAGUAAAAAUAGUUAUAAUGAGGAUACUACCUAUGGUGAGGAUAAUACUAAACAUAAUAAAGAAUAUGAUCAUGAAUCUGAUUCAACUGCGUAUAAACAAAAAGUAAAAAAAGAAAACAUAAAAAAUGGGUAUAAUUAUGAUAAACAAAAAGAAAAUAAUAAUAAAAAAUUAAAUAAUAAAGAAUUAAAUAAACCUACAUUAUGUUUUACUCAAAAUUUAAGUUUAAAUCAAUAUAAAGAAAACUUUAAUUAUAAUAAAAACAAUUAUGAUAAUAAGGAAUACUAUAAUAAACAGCUAAAUAGUUAUAAAGACUUACACAUAAAUAAUAUUAUUAUUGCUUCGAAAAUAUUAAAUAACCUAUUGUUAAAUAAAACUAAUCAUUAUUUUUUAUUCCUUAAAGAAUAUUUUUUAUUUGUAAAUAAUACAAAACCAAUCUAUACAAAAUACACUCCAAAAAAUGAAAACAAUAAUAAUAGAUUUAUGAAUAAGAUCACGAAUCCUUUAUUUAAAAACAGAAAGCAACACUACCACCAAUCACAAGAUGCUUUAACAUGUCAAGUAUAUGAAGAGCAAAACGAAGAAAUAGUGAAUUAUCAACAAAAUAACACACACAUUAACACAUGCAAUAUCGAACAAACGAAAUUUAAACAAAAACAUGUGAAUAAAAAUAAUUUUAUAAAUAGACAUAACAAUGAUGAAUAUAUUAUAAUAAACCAAAACAAUUAUGUCCAUCAUUUUGAUAAUAUCUAUGAUACAUAUCAUGUUGAUAAUGACGAUAACAUUUAUAAAAAGGAACAAUUUUAUGAUACCCAAUUCGAUAGUGUAAAAAAAGGAAUACACAAAAAUAUUAAAUUGGUUAAUUAUUUUUCGAAAAAAAAAAUUCUAGGCAACACUUUAAUUGAUAGUUUUAAUAAUGUAGAUGUAAAUGAUUCAAGGAGAAAAAAAAAAUAUUUAAAAUUUUUUGUUAUUUUGUUAUCUAUAUUUUUAAAAAAGUGUUCUCAUAAAUUGCUGUCUAGUUUUUUUAUUUCUAUGGGAUCACUACAAAGAACUCAGCAACAAAAAAGAAUAAUAAGCAUGUUCAUCAAUACAAGAAUCUAUUUUUUAUCUAUACUUGAAGCAUUUUUAAAGAAGAGGAAAAAACAAAAUGUUAAAAUUGCUUUUACUAUAUUGAAGCAAAAUUGGAUGAUCACAAAAAAAUGGAAACAAAAUAUAUCGAUGGAAAAUGACACUGAUUAUGAAAAAACAACAACAGCAACAAAACAAAUUGAGUUAUAUACGCAAAGUAAUAACGAAAAAAAUAAUAGAAACAGCUUUAUAAAUCCAAAAAGGAAUAAUAACCUAUUUUUUCAAAGAGAACAAGAUAAUAUUUCAGCACAAAAAAGUUAUAAUCAAAUGAUACAAGUUCAUACCCAAAAGUUUAAUAAGACCUUAUGGAAUGAAAACAAAAUAUUAACAAAAAUAUUUCAAUCUAAAAAAUAUUUGAAAAAUGCAUGUUUUGGCAAACCUAAAAUAUAUAGAACAGAUGAUUAUGCAAUUUUUUAUAAUAAAAAAAUAUUAAAAGAAAAUGAUGAGAUAUUAAAAAAAUGUUUAUUGAGGUCUAAAUCAGAUUCUUUACUUGAUUUUUUAAACUCGUACAAAGUAAAUAAAUUUGCAAAAAUUAAUUCUUCUAAUUUAUAUGACUCCAUACAGCAUGUUGAUUACAAAACUUCCGGUACAUUACUUGAGCGUUUUUAUACAGCUAACUAUAAUUUAGAUACACAAAAUUUAAAUUUUGAUGUAUACAAAAGUAGAAACACAUUUUCAACUUGUAAACAACAACCUGUUGAAGAAUCUAGCUUUUUUUUAAAAAAUUUAAAUAAUAUAAAAAAUAACUCAAAUAAUAUAACAAAAAGCAAUGAGACCUCUUUGUUAGAUGCUAGCGUACAAACAUACAGGCAAAGAAAAGAUUUUCAGUAUAGUACAAUACAAAAUUCAAACUUAUAUGAUUUUGUUGAUUACUCAAAUAAGUCAGCUACAUAUGAUACUAAUGCAAAAAAUGAUAAUUUUACAAACAAAACGAACGAAAUAAACUAUUCAAGUAACAAAGAUAUAAAUGAUAAACAGUGUAGAAUGUUUUUUAAAAAUAUUAAAAAACAACUAAAAAUAAAUUACACCGAAUUAAUUGAUACUAAUGAAAAAAAAGAUAAUUACUUAAGUAUAAGUGAUUUAAAUAGCCCUAUUAAUAUAUUAAAACAUUAUGAUACUGAUGUUUCCCAAUAUGAUACUAUGAGAAAUAGUGAUGUAAACAAUUCUCUAACAGACUUAAAUUUCUUAACACAAUCAGAUUUAAUUCUUGUAAAUAAAUUUGCGGAAAAAAACUGGAAAGAAGUAAGCUAAUUCUAACUGGUGAAAGGAAUUACGCAGAGAAAAAAAAAUAACAUAAAAAUUAAAUAUUAUUUUCGUAAAUCACUUGGAAAGAUUUUUUUUAUUGCAA